rnacentral:rRNA from 1 species
GAUGAACGCUAGCGGCAGGCCUAACACAUGCAAGUCGAGGGAGAAGCCCUUUCGGGGGCAGACACCGGCGCACGGGUGCGUAACGCGUAUGCAACCUACCUUUCACAGGGGGAUAGCCCGAAGAAAUUUGGAUUAAUACCCCAUAAUAUUAUUGGAUGGCAUCAUUUGAUAAUUAAAACUGCGGUGGUGAAAGAUGGGCAUGCGUCCUAUUAGCUAGUUGGAGUGGUAACGGCACCCCAAGGCUACGAUAGGUAGGGGUCCUGAGAGGGAGAUCCCCCACACUGGUACUGAGACAGGGACCAGACUCCUACGGGAGGCAGCAGUGAGGAAUAUUGGUCAAUGGUCGGAAGACUGAACCAGCCAUGCCGCGUGCAGGAAGAAUGCCUUAUGGGUUGUAAACUGCUUUUAUAUGGGAAGAAUAAGGCGUACGUGUACGUUGAUGACGGUACCAUAUGAAUAAGCAUCGGCUAACUCCGUG